GCCGGGUGCAGUGGCACGUGCCUGUAAUCCCAGCAGCUUGGGAGGCUGAGGCAGGAGGAUGGAAAGUUCAAAGUCAGCCUCAG
rnacentral:sRNA from 1 species